AAACCGUACAUACCUAAAGUACAAACGCUUCCCUCUACGUCGCAUCCCUCUGCUCGUUUUCUCGUCUCUCGCCUCGCCUCACUUGGUCUCUUUGUGCUCCUUUUACAGACGUUCGGAAUUUUACGAAAAGGGAGAGAGUGACGAUGCUUCGUGAGCACAAGAAUAUUUUGCAACAGAGUAACGGGGCUACGUGUACGACCGAGAGAUUGACGGGUGAUAUAUAAGGCUUCGAUAUUCGCUCGCCGCGUGCGUCGCGAUUCCUCGUCCAAGGCCUGCCGUUCAAUCGCUCAGAGAGGGACCGCCAUCUACGUCCCGAUCGGGCACUUUUCCAGGUAAGGGAAAGAAGAUAAACGGGGCGGAGAGGAGAAUCGGAGGGUAAGGGCGGAGUAAGUGUGCAAUGGUGAAUGUGGUGAAUAAUAAGUGGCGCGGGACACAAUCAGCGGCACGAGGCAGCGGAUUGGCGAAUCUCCCGACUUCUCCGCCGACGAUCAUCCCCGUGGCGAGCGACGGAGGGUGGAUUUCUAGUACCCCGCUGAGGGAUCGCAAAGAGAACGCGAGCCCGACGGGAAGAAGGCGACACGCGAGGGGGUGGAGCAAGGAGGCGGCGCGGAGAGCAGCGGCGAAAAAUCGGGAGCAAUAAAAGGUCCUCGUGACGGAGGGGCUUCGCACGGCCCUGGCGCGACUGCGGCACUGUACCCCUGCGGGGGGCUCGCUGCCGAACACACCGAAUCCACCGUCCACCCCGGAACACAAAU